rnacentral:rRNA from 1 species
GAGUUUGAUCGUGGCUCAGGAUGAACGCUGGCGGCGUGCUUAACACAUGCAAGUCGAACGAAGCGCCUUAUUGAUUUUCUUCGGAACUGAAGAUUUGGUGACUGAGUGGCGGACGGGUGAGUAACGCGUGGGUAACCUGCCCUGUACAGGGGGAUAACAAUCAGAAAUGACUGCUAAUACCGCAUAAGACCACAGCACCGCAUGGUGCAGGGGUAAAAACUCCGGUGGUACAGGAUGGACCCGCGUCUGAUUAGCUGGUUGGUGAGGUAACGGCUCACCAAGGCGACGAUCAGUAGCCGGCUUGAGAGAGUGAACGGCCACAUUGGGACUGAGACACGGCCCAAACUCCUACGGGAGGCAGCAGUGGGGAAUAUUGCACAAUGGGGGAAACCCUGAUGCAGCAACGCCGCGUGAGUGAAGAAGUAUUUCGGUAUGUAAAGCUCUAUCAGCAGGGAAGAAAGUGACGGUACCUGACUAAGAAGCCCCGGCUAACUACGUGCCAGCCGCCGCCGUAAG